GACGAACGCUGGCGGCGUGCUUCAUACAUGCAAGUCGAGCGGGGUCCAUCCAGUGGCAACACUGGUGAAGACCUAGCGGCGAACGGGUGAGUAACACGUGAGGAACCUGCCCCAGAGACCGGGAUAACCCUCCGAAAGGAGAGCUAAUACCGGAUGCCCCCACCGGAUCGCAUGGUCUGGUGAGGAAAUGGAUUCCGCUCUGGGAGGGCCUCGCGGCCUAUCAGCUUGUUGGUGAGGUAACAGCUCACCAAGGCGUCGACGGGUAGCUGGUCUGAGAGGACGGUCAGCCACACUGGGACUGAGACACGGCCCAGACUCCUACGGGAGGCAGCAGUAGGGAAUCUUGCGCAAUGGGCGAAAGCCUGACGCAGCAACGCCGCGUGGGGGAUGAAGGCUCUCGGGUUGUAAACCCCUUUCAGCAGGGACGAUUGUGACGGUACCUGCAGAAGAAGGACCGGCCAACUACGUGCCAGCCGCCGCAGUAA
rnacentral:rRNA from 1 species